rnacentral:rRNA from 1 species
GAUGAACGCUGGCGGCGUGCCUAAUACAUGCAAGUCGAGCGAACGGACGAGAAGCUUGCUUCUCUGAUGUUAGAGGCGGACGGGUGAGUAACACGUGGAUAACCUACCUAUAAGACUGGGAUAACUUCGGGAAACCGGAGCUCAUACCGGAUAAUAUUUUGAACCGCAUGGUUCCAAAGUGGAAGACGGUCUUGCUGUCACUUAUAGAUGGAUCGGAGCUGCAUUAGCUAGUUGGUCAGGUAACGGCUUACCAAGGCAACGAUGCAUAGCCGGCCUAAGAGGGGGAUCGGCCACACUGGAACUGAGACACAGUACCGACUCCUACGGGGGGCAGCAGUAGGGAAUCUUCCGCAAUGGGCGAAAGCCUGACGUAGCAACGCCGCCUGAGUGAUGAAGGUCUUCGGAUCGUAAAACUAUGUUAUUAGGGAAGAACAAAUGUGCAAGUAACUGUGCACAUCUUGACGGUACCUAAUCAGAAAGCCACGGCUAACUACGUG